GGACAGAGGUCCCCAGAUGUGCAGGCCAUGUAAGCCAAUGCAUGGCAGAAGUGGAGGUCAGAGGACAGUUGGGGGAAUUGGCUGUUUUCUACCACCAUCUGGGUCAAGCUUGGCAGUAAACACCCUUCCCCACUGAGCCUGCUCAUGGCUUUUCUUUUGAUCCCAGGGUUACUGGGACUAUGAUGUUACACUUCUCAGAAAGCUCCUCAGUAUAGAAUCCUGUUAAUUCUUUAAAUGUUAGGAAGAAUUUUAAGCAAAUCCAUUUGUAUAUGAACACUUGGGGGAGGGGCUGGAGAGAUGUCUCAGAGGUUAAGAGCACUGCUUACUCUUCCAAAGGUCCUGAGUUCAAUUCCCAGCAACCUCACGGUGGCUCACAACCAUCUGUAAUGAGAUCUGGCGCCCUCUUCUGCCCUGCAGGGAUACGUGCAGGCAGAACACUAUACAUAAUAAAUCCAAAAAAAAAAAAAAUAGUUCCCACUUUAAAAAAUAAAUAAAUAAAAGAACAUUUGGGGGAAUUUAGAGAUUACAAGUGAAUUUCCUUAAGAAAAGUUUGGGGGUUAUUUUACAUCAAAUGAGUUAUUGGUCCAUUUCACCUAUGUUGUCAAAUUUAUGUAGUUGAGUGUAUCCAUAAUGUGAAAAUUUUAAAUUCUCCAAAAUUUAAAAAUGUUUGAGUAUCACCACAGUACCACAAAUAGGAAAUCCACAGCCAAUCUCCUCAGACAGGCCACAGUUGAACACAGUACAGUAACAAGACAGAAAUGAAUUUGUUUUUAGCUUGGGCCCUAAUCCCAAGCACGCUGUAUAAGUGUGUAUGACAAGUGUGUAAUGAAACAGUCUGGAAGCCCAAACGCCUCUUUGGGUAAGGGACGCUCAGCCUGGACAGACCUGGGGACAGCCCAGCCUGAGGGCCUGUUUCCAAAGUAACAGCAGUGUUGCCAUGAUGCUGCUGCCUUGUGUGCUUUUCAGUUUCACUCAUCUCUACCAUGGUCUGUCCCUUGAGUUUGGGCUUUAUUUUACUUUUUUCUGGCUUCUUGGAUUGAAAAAUUAAAUCACUGGGACCUUUUUCCAAUGCAAGCAUUGGUGUCAGAGUCUGCAGAGCGCUGUCUUAGUUCUCCCACACAGUGUGAUGUGAUUUUCAUUCAUUCACCUCCCUUUCACUCUCUUGAGAUCCCCUUGACUGCUCUUAUCUAGAAGCCUGCUCUUCAGUUUCCACGUGUAACCUUUCUAUUGCCAUCUUGAGCUGAAAGCCUGUAAUUCUCUAGUUGAGGUUAUUACUCAGUGGGGCUCUGGGACCUGUUCACAGUACGCUCACUGCAGGACGCAUCCUUCCCUCAGCUUCUGCCCAUGCGACUCUGACUGGGCAUCUCAGAGAAGUGGCAACCCCCUACAGAAGAAGACACUUGUCUUUGGGGGAAUGGCUUACUUCACUUAGCAUCAUGUCCUCAAGCUCAUCUUGAAGCAUGUGCCAGGAUUUUCUUCCUUCUGUUGGAACAACAUUCUCUAUGCGUGUAUGCAGCAUAUUGCAUUUAACCUACUGAUGCACAUUUGGGUUGUUUCCCUUUGGCUGUUGUGGAUUAAUGCUUUCAAUUUGGAUGAGCAUGGCUGUCUCACAUCCCCCUUUCAGGUUGGCUUGGUUCCAUUUUGUUGGUGGUGUUUUAUUUUUUUGUUUUUUUAACAUACCCAGCAACAGCAUUGCUGGACCGUGUACUGCAGUUUGUAAUGUUCUGAGGACCCACCAUGUUGCUUUCUGGGGUAGUGGAACCAUUUUCCAUCCCACCAGCAGUUCACAAGGGUUCCUGUUUUUCCAUGUUCCCCCAGCACUUCCUCUAAAGGAGAUCUCCACCACACAGGAUCCAGAGCUGAGAAUUCUCAGCCUUUGAUGAAGCAGUGUCUGCUCGAGUUUCCUGGCUGUUCUCACUUGCCACGAGUAAGCCAUCUCUGUUUUUGGGUCCUCCACUCUGCUUUAAGGCCGCCCACUGAACUGUGGUUUUAGUUUUCCGAACACUUGAAUAUACUGAAUCUAGUCACAGA